AAAUGAAUAGACGGGGGCCCGCACAAGCAGCGGAGCGUGUGGUUUAAUUCGAGGCUACGCGAAGAACCUUACCAGGGUUUGACAUGGCGGUGGUAGGGAGGUGAAAGCCAACCGACCCUUCGGGGAGCCGUCACAGGUGCUGCAUGGCUGUCGUCAGCUCGUGCCGUGAGGUGUUAGGUUAAGUCCUGUAACGAGCGCAACCCACAUCGUUAGUUAUACGUGUCUAGCGAGACUGCCGGUGAUAAGCCGGAGGAAGGUGUGGAUGACGUCAAGUCAGCAUGGCCUUUAUAUCCUGGGCGACACACACGCUACAAUGGCCGGUACAAUGGGUCGCCAAGCCGUGAGGCGGAGCCAAUCCCGCAAAGCCGGUCUCAGUUCGGAUUGCAGGCUGCAACUCGCCUGCAUGAAGUCGGAGUUGCUAGUAACCGCAGGUCAGCCACACUGCGGUGAAUACGUUCCCGGGCCUUGUACACACCGCCCGU
rnacentral:rRNA from 1 species